rnacentral:rRNA from 1 species
UCUAAUUAAAGACAAAACAAAAGAUUUAACAUUUUAAAACAUAUAAAUAACUACAUACUUAAACUAUUCCAGCUCUCAAAAAAAAACUAUAAAAAAAAAAGACGACAAGACCCUAUUGAACUUAACUUUAGUUCAACUGGGGCAGUUGAUUAAACAUAUCUUAAUUUUAAUAUUAAAAAAUAAGACCUAAUAAAAUUAACUAAAAAAUCAAGUUACCAUAGGGAUAACAGCGUAAUAAUUAUUUAAAGUCCUUAUAUAAAAAAUAAAUUGCGACCUCGAUGUUGAAUUAAUAAUCUAAUUUACGCAAUAGUAAAAAAAGAAAGUCUGUUCGACUUUUAAAAAAUUACAUGAUUUGAGUUCAGACCGGUGUAAGCCAGGUCGGUUUCCAUCUUUUCCAAAAAUUCUUCUAGUACGAAAGGACCUAAGAAAAUUAUAAAUUACUUUAUUGGCAGAAUAAUGCAUUAGAAUUAGAAUCUAAAUAAACUAAUAAUACUUCUAUCUGUAAACUUCAUUCUAAUCACUAUUAGA